CAAUACCCAUAGUCUUAGGCUAAUUUUCUUUUAUUGAAUUUUCUUUAACUUUCCAUCUUCUUUGACAAAACCCCUCUUCUUCCCGACAAUCCAAAUCCACAGCCUCUAUUCUUCUCGUCAAAUCCAAAUCCCUAGCAAUUUCAUCAAUAAAAAUCCCUACCCAUUGAGACCUCAUUGCACCCCCUUUGUACGGAAGCUUUCUUUAGCACUACAAUCGCCAAUUUUCUGGUCUGAUCAUUGUGGGAAAAUUAAGCUCAAGACAGAAUCUCCAAAUUUUGAUAUUGCAAAGUGUUCUAUUCAUUGAGUUUCAGUGUUCAAAACAACACUGUGGUUUUCCCCUUAGAGGACUUUCUCGAUUGUUUUCCUCUUCCUCUCAUUAUUAGGCUAAGUGUUGUGCCACGAUGAACCCUUCAACUGAUGGACACACGAGGUUCAUCUUGCUUGUACCAUGUGGAUGAAAAGGCAUGCUUAUCUGAUGCCUAGAAAAUGGAGUCAAUUGACGAGUUGAGUAGAAUUCACAAGGACUAUGAAAGCUUUUAUGUAGCUUGUGCAAUGUGUCUUAUGGAGCUUGCAUCUAGUGUUCAAAUGCAUAUUGUGUAGCUUAUCACUCAUCCAGAUCACUUUGUGGAGCUUAAAGAUGAGGAAAGACUACCUCAAAUUUCUAUGGACGAGGAUGAAGAUGAACACUUCAACACACAUGAUGUGCAUGCAGCAUGCAAGCUCAUCACAUUUCAAGACCAAAAAGUUCAUUGACAAGUAAUUAUUUGCAAUGUUGUCUGGUAGGAAACCAAGUUUAGUGGCUUGCACACCAUAAUUGAUAAUGGAAGGUUUUUCUUACACAA